UGCAUCCCAGGCCAGCAGGAGCUUUGUGAGCUGCAGGCAUGGCUAUGGUGCGCCUGUUCCACACCCAGCAGGCGUGACCAGAGUCUCGUGUGUGCUGACCACAGGAGCCAAGCCUUUUCCACUGUGUGGACUCAUGUGGCCGACUCAUGUGGCCAAGGCUAGGCUUGGUCACCCAGGACCCUCACCACAUGACCCCAGCCAAUCGAGGGGACAGUUCAAGGAGGAGGAGACCCCUAUUACACAGGAAGCACAUUUGUGUUCAAGUGAAGGCAGAGGCGUCCACCCCAAGUCACCAGAGCGCAGGUGCAGAGAGGAAAAGCUGUCAGCUAGUGCCAGCCUCCAAGGGCCAGCGCUGCCCUUCAACAGCUGGAGGCACCACUGUGCGAGGCUUUCCACACCGGCCUCCCUCAGGAACAAGACAUCGUCACCAGGCAGGGGUGAGGUAUGGGCUCCAGGACUGGC
rnacentral:sRNA from 1 species